ACGAACGCUGGCGGCGUGCUUAACACAUGCAAGUCGAACGAGGUCCAUUCAGUAGCAAUAUUGAUGAAGGCCGAGUGGCGAACGGGUGAGUAACACGUGAGGAACCUAUCCUGGUCUCUGGGACAACAGUCGGAAACAACUGCUAAUACCGGAUGCCGUCGGAGCGCUGCAUGGCGCACUGACGAAAGGGUUACUGGAUCAGGAGGGUCUCGCGGCCUAUCAGCUUGUUGGUGGGGUAACGGCCUACCAAGGCAUCGACGGGUAGCUGGUCUGAGAGGAUGAUCAGCCACACUGGGACUGAGACACGGCCCAGACUCCUACGGGAGGCAGCAGUGGGGAAUCUUGCGCAAUGGGCGAAAGCCUGACGCAGCAACGCCGCGUGCGGGAAGAAGGCCUUCGGGUUGUAAACCGCUUUCAGAAGGAACGAAACUGACGGUACCUAGAGAAGAAGCCACGGCCAACUCUGU
rnacentral:rRNA from 1 species